UCCAGGAAAGCCUAGAAGAGCCUGAUCUGUUACACUUUUACGCUUGGGUAUGGCACAUAAUAGCUAGGAAUGAACAGCUGCAGCUGAGGGGUGGCUAAUAUAUCUUCUUUCUCAAGACAUGCAUCUCCAGUGCAUUGGCUCCUGUGACAAGAAUGCACCAAGCACUGGUGACAGGUGAAGACCACAUCUCCUCAAGUGGCAAGAUCACUGCUGCAGCCCAGGUCCCUUGACUUGAUCCAGCAGCAGCGCUGGCAGUGGACGGGGUUAGCUGCAACUGGCAGUAGUGCUACACUGCAAAUACCUCACCUACAGCGUAUGAUGAGGCAGGGAACUACUGGAGGCUCCUGUCAGCUGUGCUAAGAUUUGUGGAAAAGCCGUCCAGCAUCCAGACCUUCAUAAAGUCAAUGUCAACUUGUCAUGUGAGAUCGGCUAUUUGCAUGCCAGGUGACAAAUCCAACUUUUCGGACAACAGCCUGAGCAAUGCUGUGAAAAUGUUCUCCUGAUGUUUUGAGCUUUUCCUGAAUAAAAAAACAAUAUGUAAUCAUUUUGAUUAGUGAGGAAGUAUUAUGAUCGCACAAAAAGAGUUGCAAAUAAACAUGAUAAACACAAUGCCAGAAGGAGCACAUGUAAACAAGCUGUUCAAGACUGAAUUCCUUCUGCUGUACUCGAGUACAUUCUUAUGAACCUGGACACAAACAUAUCAUAUUGACAGGGGACCUCACUUCCUACUUAAUCUGGCUUGUUUAUUUUUAGUCUGGGAACCUGGUGAGCCAGGCUUUCUCAGCAGUAUUAAUUGCUACUUCACUGUUUUUCUGAUGUCGGGGCUUCUGAAAAGAAAGGUUGGCAUAAAAUCCAUAAAGCUUGAGAAGCACUGGUCUACCUAUUGAGACAAGGAAAGCAUUAGUAAAACAGCUAGCAUUAUUAUAUUUAUGUAUGUAAAAAGAAUAUUACCUAUCAAAAUAUUAACAUGACUUCUUUCCAAAUGACAGUUUGCUUUCUUUAGACAACAAUAACAAUACUCCUAUUUUGCGACUGAGGGCCAUGUAGUUUUCUGAACUACAGGGCUGAACAUCAGGAAAGUGCUGUUGAGGACUACAUACAGCUCUCACAUAAAUUUCUGUCACAAACUCUGCUGUACCUGUGAUAAUCCUUGCUAUUGACCUUUUUCAAAUGGUUUGAAUUCUUCCAUCUAGAACAACAGAAAUUUUGCUAAGUCUUUUAAUCUAUCAACCUUAAUUAGUCACUGCAGUAGAUCCCCAUGGGAAAAUGCACACAAUCAUGAAAAGAACAAAAUUAAGAAACUGUUGCGGGAAUUGUGAUGUACUGUUUCUUUAAACUGAGUUGACUAAGUUAACUCUUGUUAUUCUCUUUACAUAGUAACAGCAUCACUCUGAUGUGGUUUUUUGCUAACACAAAUCCAACAAAAGCACUCUGACUGACUUAAUCAGAAUGUUCUUCAAAAUAAAGCCAGAUAAACUCUAGUGUUUCUUUCCCAGUGGCAUUCAGGACAGAGAUUUAAACAGACAAAAGUCAUAGAAUACCUUAGUAACUACCAUGCCUGUUGCUGGCGUGCGACUAGAUCACAGGAGUCUGGGCUGUCAGAAAUUUGGCUGCUGUAAAAGAUGAACAUUGCUUUGUUUAAUUCCCAAAUUUGUUGAUUGCAAACAGUAUUCUGCAGCAUUCAUUCCAACCAUUAGUGGGUGUUUUCUGCAGCAAGCUUAUCUGUAGAGAUGCAUAUGUGUUUUCCACAUGCCUGUCUUCCAGAUCCACAUUUGAAUUUUACAGACCUGCAUACUUUAAUUUUGCUAACAUGCAAAAAGUGGACAACAUCAUCUUAGAGAAAGCUUGGUUAUCGAAAUAAAUGUGAUCUACCCAGAUGGCUUCUACCUAGUUUUCUUUUAGUUCUGCUCCACAGACCUUUCCUCUCCCCUCCUCAGUCCUCUCAUAGAACGUGAUCAUCCUGUUUGUUCCCAGUAGUCUUCUCCUAG